rnacentral:rRNA from 1 species
UGGGGAAUUUUGGACAAUGGGGGAAACCCUGAUCCAGCCAUCCCGCGUGUGCGAUGAAGGCCUUCGGGUUGUAAAGCACUUUUGGCAGGAAAGAAACGUCAUGGGUUAAUACCCCGUGAAACUGACGGUACCUGCAGAAUAAGCACCGGCUAACUACGUGCCAGCAGCCGCGGUAAUACGUAGGGUGCAAGCGUUAAUCGGAAUUACUGGGCGUAAAGCGUGCGCAGGCGGUUCGGAAAGAAAGAUGUGAAAUCCCAGGGCUCAACUUUGGAACUGCAUUUUUAACUACCGGACUAGAGUGUGUCAGAGGGAGGUGGAAUUCCGCGUGUAGCAGUGAAAUGCGUAGAUGUGCGGAGGAACACCGAUGGCGAAGGCAGCCUCCUGGGAUAACACUGACGCUCAUGCACGAAAGCGUGGGGAGCAAACAGG